rnacentral:tRNA from 2 species
GGGCCCGUAGCUCAGCCAGGUAGAGCGGCGGGCUUUUAACCGGCGGAAGUCCCGGGUUCAAAUCCCGGCGGGCCCGCCA